rnacentral:rRNA from 1 species
UUACUUUUGGUAGCAAUACCGAGAGUAAUUUAGUGGCGAACGGGUGCGUAACACGUGGGCAAUCUGCCUUAAAGUGGGGGAUAGCUCGGCGAAAGCCGAAUUAAUACCGCAUGUGGUGAGGGAAGACAUCUUUCCGAAACCAAAGCCGGGGCAACCUGGCGCUUUUUGAGGAGCCCGCGGCCUAUCAGCUAGUUGGUGAGGUAACGGCCCACCAAGGCUAUGACGGGUAGCUGGUCUGAGAGGACGACCAGUCACACUGGAACUGAGACACGGUCCAGACACCUACGGGUGGCAGCAGUCGAGAAUUUUUCUCAAUGGGGGCAACCCUGAAGGAGCGACGCCGCGUGGAGGAUGAAGGCUUUCGGGUUGUAAACUCCUGUCAUUUGGGAACAAGUUGCACACGUUAACUGCGUGGGCAUUGAUAGUACCAGAAGAGGAAGAGACGGCUAACUCUGUGCCAGCAGCCGCGGUAAUACAGAGGUCUCAAGCGUUGUUCGGAUUCAUUGGGCGUAAAGGGUGCGUAGGUGGCGCCGUAAGUCGGGUGUGAAAUUUCGGAGCUUAACUCCGAAACUGCAUUCGAUACUGCGGUGCUUGAGGACUGGAGAGGAGACUGGAAUUCAUGGUGUAGCAGUGAAAUGCGUAGAGAUCAUGAGGAAGACCAGUGGCGAAGGCGGGUCUCUGGACAGUUCCUGACACUGAGGCACGAAGGCCAGGGGAGCAAACGGGAUUAGAUACCCCGGUAGUCCUGGCAGUAAACGGUGCACGUUUGGUGUGGGAGGAUUCGACCCCUUCCGCGCCGGAGCUAACGCGUUAAACGUGCCGCCUGGGGAGUACGGUCGC